rnacentral:rRNA from 1 species
AGUGAACGCUGGCGGUAGGCCUAACACAUGCAAGUCGAACGGCAGCACAGUAAGAGCUUGCUCUUACGGGUGGCGAGUGGCGGACGGGUGAGGAAUACAUCGGAAUCUACUUUUUCGUGGGGGAUAACGUAGGGAAACUUACGCUAAUACCGCAUACGACCUACGGGUGAAAGCAGGGGACCUUCGGACCUUGCGCGAUUGAAUGAGCCGAUGUCGGAUUAGCUAGUUGGCGGGGUAAAGGCCCACCAAGGCGACGAUCCGUAGCUGGUCUGAGAGGAUGAUCAGCCACACUGGAACUGAGACACGGUCCAGACUCCUACGGGAGGCAGCAGUGGGGAAUAUUGGACAAUGGGCGCAAGCCUGAUCCAGCCAUACCGCGUGGGUGAAGAAGGCCUUCGGGUUGUAAAGCCCUUUUGUUGGGAAAGAAAGGCAGCAGGUUAAUACCCCGCUGUUCUGACGGUACCCAAAGAAUAAGCACCGGCUAACUUCGUG